AUUGAACGCUGGCGGCAUGCCUAACACAUGCAAGUCGAACGGCAGCACAGCAGUAGCAAUACUGUGGGUGGCGAGUGGCGGACGGGUGAGGAAUACGUCGGAAUCUGCCCAGUCGUGGGGAGUAACUAGCCGAAAGGUUAGCUAAUACCGCAUACGACCGAGAGGUGAAGCGGGGACCGGCAAGGCCUCGCGCGAUUGGAUGAGCCGACGUCGGAUUAGCUAGUUGGCGGGGUAAAGGCCCACCAAGGCGACGAUCCGUAGCUGGUCUGAGAGGAUGAUCAGCCACACUGGAACUGAGACACGGUCCAGACUCCUACGGGAGGCAGCAGUGGGGAAUAUUGGACAAUGGGCGCAAGCCUGAUCCAGCAAUGCCGCGUGUGUGAAGAAGGCC
rnacentral:rRNA from 1 species